CCUACGGGAGGCAGCAGUAGGGAAUCUUCCACAAUGGACGAAAGUCUGAUGGAGCAACGCCGCGUGAGUGAUGAAGGUUUUCGGAUCGUAAAACUCUGUUGUAAGGGAAGAACAAGUACGAGAGGGAAUGCUCGUACCUUGACGGUACCUUGCGAGAAAGCCACGGCUAACUACGUGCCAGCAGCCGCGGUAAUACGUAGGUGGCAAGCGUUGUCCGGAAUUAUUGGGCGUAAAGCGCGCGCAGGCGGCCUUUUAAGUCUGAUGUGAAAGCCCCCGGCUCAACCGGGGAGGGUCAUUGGAAACUGGAAGGCUUGAGUACAGAAGAGAAGAGUGGAAUUCCAUGUGUAGCGGUGAAAUGCGUAGAGAUGUGGAGGAACACCAGUGGCGAAGGCGACUCUUUGGUCUGUAACUGACGCUGAGGCGCGAAAGCGUGGGGAGCAAACAGGAUUAGAUACCCUGGUAGUCCACGCCGUAAACGAUGAGUGCUAGGUGUUGGGGGGUUUCCGCCCCGUUCAGUGCGUGAGACUACGACAUUAAGACACUCCGCCGUCGGGGAGGUACGGCCGGCGAACGGACGACGAACGUACGAAAGGAAAGUUAGUACGGCGUGAGACGUAGACCGAACGGACGACGACGAGGGAGGAGGG
rnacentral:rRNA from 1 species